rnacentral:rRNA from 1 species
AACGAACGCUGGCGGCAUGCUUAACACAUGCAAGUCGAACGAGAAAGCUCUUCGGAGUGAGUAGAGUGGCGCACGGGUGAGUAAUGCAUAGGAACGUACCUAUAGGUGGGGAAUAACUACGGGAAACUGUAGCUAAUACCGCAUGACCUCGUAAGAGCAAAGGUGGCCUCUUCUUGAAAGCUACCGCCUAUAGAUCGGCCUAUGUCCCAUUAGCUUGUUGGUGAGGUAACGGCUCACCAAGGCUACGAUGGGUAGCUGGUCUGAGAGGACGAUCAGCCACACUGGGACUGAGACACGGCCCAG